rnacentral:lncRNA from 10 species
CUAUGAUUUCUUUCAUACAAAUGAUUUCCGCAUUUGUGAUUUAAUCUUUCAUUUGGCGUCAUUUUGGGGUCGAUUUAUUGCAGGUGUUUGAAAUCAGAAAACAAGUGAGGCUUAAUCAAGAUAGGAGUUUAUUUCUCUCUCCCAAAAGAAGUCUGGAAGCAGGCAGGCCCGGGCUGUGACUGGGCCUUCGUGAACUAAGUCCUAAAGAUCUAGACUGGUAGCCCUCUGGCCUCCUCAGAAGAAAGAGAGACGGAGGACAGGCUUCUCCCUGGGAAAAACUGCCCGGAAACCCCUCACAGCACUUCUUGGAUUCCUUUGGACAGAACUUGAUCAACAUGGCAACAGCUGAAUGAAAGGGAAUUUGGAAAGUGUCAUUUUAAGUCUGGCUGGCUCUGUGCCUUCCUCAUUUCAGAGUCCCGUCCCUGACGAAGCAGGAGACACAACCAGCAGACUCUGCCACAGUCUUCGCGUAUAUACCCCAUGUGACGCCUGUAUCCUCAGUCCUUGGAAAGGUUGACUACGGUGAGAAAUACUGGAAGAGGAGGUAUCGGAUGGUUUAAAAGGAAUAGAAAAUGACGAAGAGUCCAAGACGAAUUUCACUUGAUUGUUGAACACCGAGCGCUCCUGAGGGCUUGCACAUCUGGACGCUGAGUUAAAGGACUC